rnacentral:rRNA from 1 species
CACCCCGGAAGGGGAGUGAAAUAGAUCCUGAAACCGUGUGCCUACAACAAGUCAAAGCUCGUUAAUGAGUGAUGGCGUGCCUUUUGUAGAAUGAACCGGCGAGUUACGAUUGCAUGCGAGGUUAAGUUGAAGAGACGGAGCCGCAGCGAAAGCGAGUCUGAAUAGGGCGAAUGAGUAUGUAGUCGUAGACCCGAAACCAUGUGAUCUACCCAUGUCCAGGUUGAAGGUGCGGUAAAACGCACUGGAGGACCGAAC